AGCAGUAGCCGCGGUAAUACGUAGGGUGCGAGCGUUAAUCGGAAUUACUGGGCGUAAAGCGUGCGCAGGCGGUUGUGUAAGACGGGUGUGAAAUCCCCGGGCUUAACCUGGGAACUGCGCUUGUGACUGCACAGCUAGAGUAUGGCAGAGGGGGGUGGAAUUCCACGUGUAGCAGUGAAAUGCGUAGAGAUGUGGAGGAACACCGAUGGCGAAGGCAGCCCCCUGGGCCAAUACUGACGCUCAUGCACGAAAGCGUGGGGAGCGAACAGGAUUAGAUACCCCGGUAGUCCCUGUCUCUUAUAC
rnacentral:rRNA from 1 species